rnacentral:rRNA from 1 species
AGAGUACGUGAAACCGUUCAGGGGUAAACCUGAGAAACCCGAAAGGUCGAAAGGGGAAAUUCAUUCGCGUUUCGGCUCUGUCGGCGUUGGAUGGUCGAGUGACGGAUGGCGUACGCGUCGUCCGCGCCUUCCUCGUCCUUCGAACCGACGUCGAACGCGUGCACUUUUCCCCUAGUAGGACGUCGCGAUCCGUUGGGUGUCGGUCUAAGGCCUGCGGUGGAGCCCGUGCGGACGUUUCGGCGUUCCGUGCGGACCCGCAGUUCGCCCGGCCGACUCGCUCGACGGUAUACAGAUGGCGAGGGGCCGCUACUUAGUUAGCGUUCGGCCUGCGGCAAGCGCGUUCGGCGUUUGACGGCGAUCGGACCCGGUGCCGGUCCUGUCCCCGAACGACUGUUGGCCGUGGUGUUCUCGAACAGACCUCUAUUUCGAAACGCCGAUCUGCGACGCUAUAGCUUUGGGUACUUUCAGGACCCGUCUUGAAACACGGACCAAGGAGUCUAGCAUGUGCGCAAGUCAUUGGGACAUAACUAAACCUAAAGGCGCAAUGAAAGUGAAGGUCCGCCUUGCGCGGACCGAGGGAGGAUGGGCGGUUCGGCCCUUAAAAGCUGCCGCCCCGCACUCCCGGGGCGUCUCGUUCUCAUUGCGAGAAGA